rnacentral:rRNA from 1 species
GAUGAACGCUGGCGGCGUGCCUAAUACAUGCAAGUCGAGCGAACAGACGAGGAGCUUGCUCCCCUGACGUUAGCGGCGGACGGGUGAGUAACACGUGGAUAACCUACCUAUAAGACUGGGCUAACUUCGGGAAACCGGAGCUAAUACCGGAUAAUAUAUUGAACCGCAUGGUUCAAUAGUGAAAGACGGUUUUGCUGUCCCUUAUAGAUGGAUCCGCGCCGCAUUAGCUAGUUGGUAAGGUAACGGCUUACCAAGGCAACGAUGCGUAGCCGACCUGAGAGGGUGAUCGGCCACACUGGAACUGAGACACGGUCCAGACUCCUACGGGAGGCAGCAGUAGGGAAUCUUCCGCAAUGGGCGAAAGCCUGACGGAGCAACGCCGCGUGAGUGAUGAAGGUCUUCGGAUCGUAAACCUCUGUUAUUAGGGAAGAACAAAUGUGUAAGUAACUAUGCACGUCUUGACGGUACCUAAUCAGAAAGCCACGGCUAACUACGUG